CUCCGUUGGUGAACCAGCGGAGGGAUCAUUACUGAGUUUACGCUCUAUAACCCUUUGUGAACAUACCUAUAACUGUUGCUUCGGCGGGUAGGGUCUCCGCGACCCUCCCGGCCUCCCGCCUCCGGGCGGGUCGGCGCCCGCCGGAGGAUAACCAAACUCUGAUUUAACGACGUUUCUUCUGAGUGGUACAAGCAAAUAAUCAAAACUUUUAACAACGGAUCUCUUGGUUCUGGCAUCGAUGAAGAACGCAGCGAAAUGCGAUAAGUAAUGUGAAUUGCAGAAUUCAGUGAAUCAUCGAAUCUUUGAACGCACAUUGCGCCCGCCAGCAUUCUGGCGGGCAUGCCUGUUCGAGCGUCAUUUCAACCCUCAAGCUCUGCUUGGUGUUGGGGCCCUACAGCUGAUGUAGGCCCUCAAAGGUAGUGGCGGACCCUCCCGGAGCCUCCUUUGCGUAGUAACUUUACGUCUCGCACUGGGAUCCGGAGGGACUCUUGCCGUAAAACCCCCCAAUUUUCCAAAGGUUGACCUCGGAUCAGGUAGGAAUACCCGCUGAACUUAAGCAUAUCAAUAAGCGGA
rnacentral:rRNA from 1 species